UACGAAGGGGCUAGCGUUGUUCGGAAUUACUGGGCGUAAAGCGCACGUAGGCGGGUUUGUAAGUAGGGGGUGAAAUCCCUGGGCUCAACCCAGGAACUGCCUUCUAGACUGCAAGCCUGGAGGUCAGGAGAGGCGAGUGGAAUUCCGAGUGUAGAGGUGAAAUUCGUAGAUAUUCGGAGGAACACCAGUGGCGAAGGCGACUCGCUGGACUGAUACUGACGCUGAGGUGCGAAAGCGUGGGGAGCAAACAGG
rnacentral:rRNA from 1 species